rnacentral:rRNA from 1 species
GACGAACGCUGGCGGCGUGCCUAACACAUGCAAGUCGAACGGAACUUACCGAAUGAAGUCUUCGGAUGGAUUUUGAUAAGUUUAGUGGCGGACGGGUGAGUAACGCGUGAGUAACCUGCCUUCAAGAGGGAAAUAACUAUGAGAAAUUGUAGCUAAUGUCCCAUAAGACCACACUUAGGCAUCUAAGAGAGGUCAAAGGAGAAAUCCGCUAGAAGAUGAGUCUAUGGCUGAUUAGUUAGUUGGUGAGGUAAGAGCUUACCAAGACGAUGAUCAGUAGCCGAGCUGAGAGGCUGAUCGGCCACAUUGGGACUGAGACACGGCCCAG